rnacentral:rRNA from 1 species
CCUACGGGUGGCAGCAGUGAGGAAUAUUGGUCAAUGGGCGGAAGCCUGAACCAGCCAAGUCGCGUGCAGGAUGACGGCCCUAUGGGUUGUAAACCGCUUUUAUAAGGGAAUAACGUGCCUUACGUGUCCCGCUUUGUAUGUACCUUAUGAAUAAGGACCGGCUAAUUCCGUGCCAGCAGCCGCGGUAAUACGGAAGGUCCGGGCGUUAUCCGGAUUUAUUGGGUUUAAAGGGUGCGUAGGCGGCAUGUCAAGCGUGCUGUGAAAUGUUGUGGCUCAACCCGAGAAUUGCCGGGGAAACUGGCGUGCUUGAGUACGCGUAAGGCAGGCGGAAGGCGUGGUGUAGCGGUGAAAUGCUUAGAUAUGACGAAGAACCCCGAUUGCGAAGGCAGCUUGCUGCAGCAGGACUGACGCUGAUGCUCGAAAGCGCGGGUAUCGAACAGGAUUAGAUACCCCAGUAGUC